rnacentral:rRNA from 1 species
GAGGCGAACCGGGGGAACUGAAACAUCUAAGUACCCCGAGGAAAAGAAAUCAACCGAGAUUCCGAAAGUAGCGGCGAGCGAAAUUGGACUAGCCCUUAAGCUUUACACGCGUUAGACGAACGGUCUGGAAAGUCCGACGAUACAGGGUGAUAGUCCCGUAGUUGACGACGUGUGUUCAGUGAAAUCGAGUAGGGCGGGACACGUGAUAUCCUGUCUGAAUAUGGGGGGACCAUCCUCCAAGGCUAAAUACUACU